GACGAACGCUGGCGGCGUGCUUAACACAUGCAAGUCGAACGGAAAGGCCCUGCUUUUGUGGGGUGCUCGAGUGGCGAACGGGUGAGUAACACGUGAGUAACCUGCCCUUGGCUUUGGGAUAACUUCAGGAAACUGGGGCUAAUACCGGAUAGGAGCUCCUGCUGCAUGGUGGGGGUUGGAAAGUUUCGGCGGUUGGGGAUGGACUCGCGGCUUAUCAGCUUGUUGGUGGGGUAGUGGCUUACCAAGGCUCUGACGGGUAGCCGGCCUGAGAGGGUGACCGGCCACAUUGGGACUGAGAUACGGCCCAGACUCCUACGGGAGGCAGCAGUGGGGAAUAUUGCACAAUGGGCGGAAGCCUGAUGCAGCAACGCCGCGUGCGGGAUGACGGCCUUCGGGUUGUAAACCGCUUUCGCCUGUGACGAAGCGUGAGUGACGGUAAUGGGUAAAGAAGCACCGGCUAACUACGUG
rnacentral:rRNA from 1 species